rnacentral:lncRNA from 1 species
ACUUUACAGAUUGGUGGAGGAGUCGUACCCUCCAGAAGAAAGUGUGUUGAGAACCCAAGCUGGAAUUCACACGAACCACCUCUCCGUCACAGCCUGAUGGCAUUGGGGUAACCUUCUGACCAGCUGUCUUCUGUGGUGGUUCUUGGCGCAAAGCAGGAUCUUGAUGAGCAGAGCCACGGAUCAGGCUGGGAUGCAGAUAUGAGAGACCCUCUUCGAAGCUUGUGGGCCAGCUAGGCUGACUUGUGCAGUGCUGAACAAGAGGCUCCAUUUCCAGCAAGGUCAAAGUUGGAGACCAACAUGUCUGAGGUUGUCUCUUCUGGCUUCCAUACAUGAGCUGAGACACAGUGUGCCCACCAAUCACACACACACACACACACACACACACACACACACACACACAUACACACACACUCACUCAUAAGGUGAUACACACAGAAAACAGAUGAAAAAUAAAUAAUAGGGAUGAUGGAGGAAGAGGGGGCCAGAAAGAAUGGAAGAAUCAGGAUCAAAAUUGUGUCUUCUGGACACAGCUAGACUGCUG